rnacentral:rRNA from 1 species
GAGUGGCGAACGGGUGAGUAAUGCAUCGGAACGUACCUUUCAGUGGGGGAUAACGUAGCGAAAGUUACGCUAAAACCGCAUAUUCUGUGAGCAGGAAAGCAGGGGAUCGCAAGACCUUGCGCUGAUGGAGCGGCCGAUGUCAGAUUAGCUAGUUGGUGGGGUAAAGGCUCACCAAGGCGACGAUCUGUAGCGGGUCUUAGAGGAUGAUCCGCCACACUGGAACUGAGACACGGUCCAGACUCCUACGGGAGGCAGCAGUGGGGAAUUUUGGACAAUGGGCGCAAGCCUGAUCCAGCCAUGCCGCGUGAGUGAAGAAGGCCUUCGGGUUGUAAAGCUCUUUCGGCCGGGAAAAAAUCGCUUGGGUUAAUACCCUGAGUGGAUGAUGGUACCGGAAUAAGAAGCACCGGCUAACUACGUGCCAGCAGCCGCGGUAAUACGUAGGGUGCGAGCGUUAAUCGGAAUUACUGGGCGUAAAGCGUGCGCAGGCGGUUUUGUAAGACAGGCGUGAAAUCCCCGAGCUCAACCUGGGAACUGCGUUUGUGACUGCAAGGCUAGAGUAUGGCAGAGGGGGGUGGAAUUCCACGUGUAGCAGUGAAAUGCGUAGAGAUGUGGAGGAACACCAAUGGCGAAGGCAGCCCCCUGGGCCAAUACUGACGCUCUUGCACGAAAGCGUGGGGAGCAAACAGGAUUAGAUACCCUGGUAGUCCACGCCCUAAACGAUGUCAACUAGGCGUUGGGUGGGUAAAACCAUUUGGUACCGUAGCUAACGCGUGAAGUUGACCGCCUGGGGAGUACGGCCGCAAGGUUAAAACUCAAAGGAAUUGACGGGGACCCGCACAAGCGGUGGAUGAUGUGGAUUAAUUCGAUGCAACGCGAAAAACCUUACCUACCCUUGACAUGCCAGGAACUUGCCAGAGAUGGCUUGGUGCCCGAAAGGGAGCCUGGACAUAGGUGCUGCAUGGCUGUCGUCAGCUCGUGUCGUGAGAUGUUGGGUUAAGUCCCGCAAUGAGCGCAACCCUUGUCGUUAAUUGCCAUCAUUUAGUUGGGCACUUUAACGAGACUGCCGGUGACAAACCGGAGGAAGGUGGGGAUGACGUCAAGUCCUCAUGGCCCUUAUGGGUAGGGCUUCACACGUCAUACAAAGGUCGGUACAAAGGGUUGCCAAGCCGCGAGGCGGAGCCAAUCCCAGAAAGCCGAUCGUAGUCCGGAUCGCAGGCUGCAACUCGCCUGCGUGAAGUCGGAAUCGCUAGUAAUCGUGGAUCAGCAUGUCACGGUGAAUACGUUCCCGGGUCUUGUACACACCGCCCGUCACACCAUGGGAGCGGGUUCCGCCAGAAGUAGGUAGCCUAACCGCAAGGAGGGCGCUUACCACGGCGGGGUUCGUGACU